UCCGCCAGUGACGUGGUGUAGAAAAAUCAAAAGAGAAACUCUCUGUAUUCCACGGGUCCGCUGUGUGGAAAGACACGCCUAGUCAGUUGUUGUCAAUCACCAUCUACCUUUCGACUCAUUUUCUACUAACUAAAACCCUUGUCAUAAAUACUCUACAUUUGGCUUUGAAGCGAACUUGAAUCGUGGACGGCUACGGAAAGGUUUGGAUUCAGGCGGGGUUUUGAAGCCAGUUAGCAACCUAGCAAGGUUAGUAGCUAACGUUAGACUAGCUAAUCUUAUCUGUAGCUAGCGUCCAUCGGAUAUACAGUAACAUCAAAGUAUUCUCAUAAUAGAGGUAGCAGUUGUGUCUCAGUGAGGAGAGGUUACCCACCCCCCCCCGAAUCGCCAUGAAGCUCUACAGUCUCAGCGUCCUUCACAAAGGCUCCACAAAGGCCAACCUGCUCAAGGCUGCCUACGACCUCUCCUCCUUCAACUUCUUCCAGCGGUCCAGUGUCCAGGAGUUUAUGACAUUCACCAGUGCCUUAAUUGUGGAGCGCAGUUCUCAAGGGAGCCGAGCCUCAGUCAAAGAGCAAGAGUACCUGUGUCACGUGUACGUGCGGAACGACUCGCUGGGCGCCGUGGUGAUCGCAGACAACGAGUACCCGUCCAGGGUGUGCUUCACGCUGCUGGAGAAGGUACUGGAGGAAUUCUCCAAACAAGUGGACAGCAUAGACUGGCCCUCUGGGUCUCCUGCCACUAUCCAAUACACAGCCUUGGACAGUCAUCUUGCCAAGUAUCAGAAUCCUCGGGAGGCAGACCCCAUGUCCAGAGUGCAGGCUGAACUGGAUGAAACCAAAAUCAUUCUGCACAAUACCAUGGAGUCACUCUUGGAGAGAGGAGAGAAGCUAGAUGACUUGGUGCAGAAGUCAGAACACUUGGGAAACCAGUCCAAAGCCUUCUACAAGACCGUGAGUUUUUGAGGGCAGCCUUGUUCAGUCAGGAUCUGUAAAUUAGUUACAUGGUCACUGCAGGCUUGAUGUGAUGCUAUAUACUCUGUAGUCAUUGGGAAGUGGUGAGUAUAGACUAUUCAGCUAGAGUAUCGAGCAUGGCAUCAAGCCUGUAUUAAAUACACUGUGGGCCCCUGCUCACAUAACUCGGUAAAGGCAUUCUUCUUGAUUUUCGUGUCAUUUACUGUUUCUACCUGUUCCAGUUAUGUGUUCUAAUGUUCUUGCUUCAGUCAAUGGUUGACAGGUUCCUUUAACUCCACCCUUUAUCAGGGUCCAGGAGACCUCAAUCGCGGUGCUCAUGGAACAGAGGCUCGGAAACAGAACUCGUGCUGUGCGGUAAUGUGAGGAUGGCCCACUCUACUCCAGGACUCUCGGACCACUCCUUCACCCCCACCCGCCCACCGGCCCCCCCAGGGUGCCUCUCUGACCAGCUGCUGCACAGUCCUGAAAGGGGGGUACUGGGGUAGGGGGAGGGGGGGGUUGAGGGGACGGUCACACUCCAUAGGAAUGCUAAUUUGGAUAGUAUUGAAAAGCCCAAUAUUUAUUAUUGUUUUUGAAAAGAGGAGCGGGGGCUGAUUUUGUGUACAGUGCUGCUCUGUGCUGUGACCGUCAUCGUAUCUGAGCGUUUGUGGGUGUUCGCUCCUUUCAGUGGGUCUGUUCGCCGUCUUUGCACUUUGGGGUUUGGCGAAGGUGUUGGGAAAUUUCUGUUUGUUCAAGCGAGGGGGUGCAUUCAACCUUGUGCGUGCGUGCGUGCGUGCGUGCCAUUUAGUCUCAGGCAGUCAGUCUAUCAGUCUCAUUCCAUGGUAGAAAAUCCAAGGCUGUUAUAGUCAUUCAUAUUAAAUGUGACUCGGUUCCUGUCUUAAUACUCAUAUGUGGCUGUUGAUCAGGUUUAGGUGUAAAGUACUGUGCCAGUCUCAAGGUUUUUUCUCAUGAUCAGCAUAGUGGCCAAACUACCCUGCCAAGCCACUGAACUGACAGCUUAAAAUGACUUCUGUGUGCAUCUCUGCAGAGCUGGUGAUGUAUUGAAUCAGAGUGAAUCUUGUCAGUGAUGUGAUUAUUAUAAAAAAUUUUUAUAGUCCUUAAACCCACAAAGUUUAUGCUGUGUGCUGGUAUUUUAGAAGAAUCGGACACAAAGUGUGCAUGUUUAAUAUACUGUGGUCAAAGCUGGUGUUUUACAGCUAUUGGGACACUAUGUGUGCGUUUGUGUGUGAACGUGAAAAAAUCCAAUGCACAAUCACCUGAAUAUCUCCUUUGGACUUUAUGUGGUCUGUUUGUGACAACUAGAUGGCGCUGUAUCCUUGUGAGCCCCCAGCUCACAAGGCAUUAAACCUCCCAGGAACUUGGCAAUCAUGGAGCGAAAUUGGUGUUGGGUGUUACCUCUGUACUUCCACCCAGCUUUGGGGGACGGCAGGCAGGGGUUAAUAUUCUGCGUUGGACUGGAUACAGCGAUGGUUUCGCGAGGGAACAGCUUGUCAGUUGCAAAUUUGAAUAUUUUAGGCCACGGCGGCCCUGUGUGGCCUAUGCAUAUGUGGUUUGUGUAUGGAAUGUAUGGAUGGAUUAAUCUUUUGUGCAUUUUUGCUAACAAAUAUUACAAUUUGGAAACAUUCCUGGAGAUCCUUUGCUGUUCUUAAAUUGCUUUGUGGAAAGGACUGGAAGUGCGGCCGAUAGUGGAGUAAGAAAUAGUUUGUUUGGCGUACAGAAUAAAAAGCAUUUGGGGGGGUAAGGCGGGGGGUGGUGCGUUGAUCCCGUUUUGAUAUGAAGCCUCAUUAGUAGUGUGAUUGAUGGAAGUCAGCCCCUCCCUCUUCUCCAGCAGUCCCCUGGGCCGUCCCCACCUGUACUACCUGCAGAUCGACACACGGGCCACUGGCACACUGCGCGCAAAAUUCCAGCUAAGAAUCCAUCCGUUUGUGGAAACAAGGGUGCGCGGUUCGGGGUUAGCUCUUCGCUAAGAGCCGAAAUGGCUCUCGAUGGCAUUUCGCCCAGAGUGGCGGGCUAGCCUGUGGCUGCUUCCUGUCACCGCCACCUGUGUUCGGUCUGGUCACAGGCGUCAUUUAAUGAAACGGGCAGACCAUUUAGCACCUGGCUUACCGUGUGGAGCUGCACUUCCUGUGUGUGCUACUCAGUCUCUCUUUGUUUCCCUUUAAUAUUCAGACAAAACUGCAGCAGGUACAAAUGGGGACGGCUCAUGGUUGCUGAAGUGACAUUUGUGGGCCUUUGGCCAUGUGUAUAAUAAUGGGUUCAGAAACCUCUUCCUGCAGAUUUCAGGAUCACUGACCUAGCUGUUGAUCUGUUUGAUGGCUUGCUAGGAUUCUGCUUUUAUUUUUGCUUAUGCAGUUUUCCGAUCAUUGAGUUGAGCCAGGCCAUUUCCUCUUCCAGACUAAUUGUUCAGUGAAAUUGCUAGCGAGUCCUGAAGUGGUGAUAAAUUACUGAUUUUAUUGUUUGUUUUUGCCACAGUAGAAUUUGUCCUACUUGAGUCCGUCUGGAUUUAAAAAAAUACCCACAGAAAUUGACAGGAAGUUUGAAAUUCAAGGAUUCAGUUAUUUUCCUUUUUUAACUAAAUUAACAUGGGAUUGCCCCAAAACCUGACCUUUCCUUUCAUUUUAGACUUUAUGUGUAGAAUCCCUUCAUGCAGUUUAAUAUGCAGUUAUACGGCUUAAUAAUAGUAAUGGUAAAGAAGUCACGUCUGCCCUCAUUCCGCACUGGAGAUGAUGAUCCUAAAAGAAUCUCUGCAUUCAUCUGCAGGGCUCAGGCUUAUGAGAAUGAGUGGAAUUUAAUGGUAUCACUGCCAUCAGAAAGGCAGUUGCGUCUAAAAUGCAAGUGUAGUGUAUGAAAAUUCUAUUCUGCAAGUCCCAAACUCUAAAAACGCAUUCUCUAAAGGUGCGUUAUGUCCGAGGAUGUAAGUUAUCCUUCAAGGCAGUCACUGCAGAGAAAGAAAAAAUCUAGUUGUGAUUUCCUGUGUCAAUUUGUGUUUGGUUUGUAACUGUAAACUGAAUAGAAUAUUAAGCUUUCUGUAAAGUCAUAAGAAUUUUAAAAUGAACACCAGAUUAAGGAUGCCAAAGCAAAUGCACCCAUCCAGUACUGGUUUAAAGGCAAUAUUUUUAUUCUGGCUAUAUACAAAACAUACUGGUUUACUCGACACAGGAGUUGGGGCCCUGUGGAACAGGCUUCCGGAUAACUCCAGUGAAUUAAGACACCUGUAUCCUUCACUCCGUGUGCCUCCGGAGCCUUCGGCACGCACUUUGUGUUUUCUGUCUACUGCGCGUCUCUGGUCGGUGGUGUGACGUGUGUGCGAGUCUUGUGAGCUUGGUUUGUGCUUACAGUGCGGACAGGAAGGGGCCUGCGAAAGACUGGGGCAAAUCCAGGGACUGUUGCCGCUUAGUGAGUUUCUCGCUGGCCUUAACUUUGCGCUGUUUUUUGUCUGCCUAAAGAAAGCAGGAAUAACUGACUGACAACUUUGGUCAUUUUCUUUCUUUUUUGGCCAGUGCAGGGCAGGCGGUGGGGGGCUGAGGUGUAACUCGAUGUACCUAAAAAUUGCCCUGUAUGCUUCAUUUUACCUGUUUCAAAAAAUAAAAUACUGUACUACCAAGCAUUAAGUAUCCUUUAUUUACACUUUACCCCUCUUGUUUCACACACUUGUUUAAAAAAUGGGAAUUACCUGUUCAUAAAUGUAUUGACUUGCAACUGAUCUGAUGUCUAACAUGCCUUCAGGGUUUUUUAAAGUUACCGGCAGUUUGGUUUGGGGGGGAACUUUUAUUUAUUUAUUUUUUUUGGAAAUACAGAAUGCAGUGCUACCUAUAAAAUUGGAUUUUGGUAUUACACAUGGGAUAUUUUAAUAAAUUCUUUAUCCAUAUGUUAAAUGUCACUUUUGUUUCUACUGUAAAGGCUGCGUUUGGUUUGUUCAGGAUGUGACGGUAUGCUACAACUCUUUCUGUAUCAGUAUAUAUAUUUUCUUUUCUUUCUCACUUUGUGAAACAAGGUGGUGCCAGGCUCAAAAUGCAUGAUCAAUUCACUGAAGACACUGUAGUCUACCUGGCAAAGACCAGGUCCACACAACAUUAAGCAUUCGCACAGACAUUCAUUUUCUCUGCAUUACAACUGCUUGAUUUUCCUGAAUUCUUAAAAUAAUUUCGUCCAUUACUUUCUUUCCUUGCUCUUUUUUUUUUUUUUUUUUUGUUUAACAAAAUGUACUUGUCCAAGGUGAAUUUUCUUGUUAUUAUGGUAGGUAUUGUCUUUUACAGUAAUUCAAUUUGAACCGCUGUUUGUGUAUUGAAACUGUUCAGGAUGGGGAUCUGUAACAUCUCAUUUUAUGGAGUUCUUUAAAUGUGAAACUUUAAUCAUAUGAAGGCCAAAUGUUAUAAUUGUAGUACACAUAACUAUGGUGUCAUCAUAAUGACUGGACUGUCUGUUGAUUCAUGGCUACAGAGAAGAAAAUGUGAAAGUUUCUAUCUGAUGGGUGCACUUAUUCGUUGGAUACAUUACUAAAGACGUUUUUUUUUAUCUCAAGCUGUGUUUAUGCUUUCCAUUCUUUUUGUAAAAUCAGUUAUUUGUAACCUAUACAUAUAUUAUAUUUUUGUUUUAUAAUAUGGUUGAUUUGUCAAUUUAUGAAACAUGAACUUAAAAGAAAUAUUAAAUGUUUUUUCUUUUACGCUUUGUAUAA